UACGAAGGGGGCUAGCGUUGCUCGGAAUCACUGGGCGUAAAGCGCACGUAGGCGGAUCUUUAAGUCAGGGGUGAAAUCCUGGAGCUCAACUCCAGAACUGCCUUUGAUACUGAGGAUCUCGAGUCCGGGAGAGGUGAGUGGAACUGCGAGUGUAGAGGUGAAAUUCGUAGAUAUUCGGAAGAACACCAGUGGCGAAGGCGGCUCACUGGACCGGUAUUGACGCUGAUGUGCGAAAGCGUGGGGAGCAACAGG
rnacentral:rRNA from 1 species